AUUGAACGCUGGCGGCAGGCCUAACACAUGCAAGUCGAACGGUAGCACAGAGAGCUUGCUCUCGGGUGACGAGUGGCGGACGGGUGAGUAACGUCUGGGAAACUGCCCGAUGGAGGGGGAUAACUACUGGAAACGGUAGCUAAUACCGCAUAACGUCGCAAGACCAAAGUGGGGGACCUUCGGGCCUCACACCAUCGGAUGUGCCCAGAUGGGAUUAGCUAGUAGGUGGGGUAAUGGCUCACCUAGGCGACGAUCCCUAGCUGGUCUGAGAGGAUGAACAGCCACACUGGAACUGAGACACGGUCCAGACUCCUACGGGAGGCAGCAGUGGGGAAUAUUGCACAAUGGGCGCAAGCCUGAUGCAGCCAUGCCGCGUGUAUGAAGAAGGCCUUCGGGUUGUAAAGUACUUUCAGCGGGGAGGAAGGCGGUGAAGUUAAUAACUUCACCGAUUGACGUUACCCGCAGAAGAAGCACCGGCUAACUCCGUGCCAGCAGCCGCAGUAA
rnacentral:rRNA from 1 species